rnacentral:rRNA from 1 species
GACAGAGGGUGCAAACGUUGUUCGGAAUUACUGGGCGUAAAGCGCGUGUAGGCGGCCAUCUAAGUCGGGCGUGAAAUCCCACGGCUCAACCGUGGAAGUGCACUCGAAACUGGAUGGCUAGAGUCCUGGAGAGGAAGGUGGAAUGCUUGGUGUAGAGGUGAAAUUCGUAGAUAUCAAGCGGAACACCGGUGGCGAAGGCGGCCUUCUGGACAGUGACUGACGCUGAGACGCGAAAGCGUGGG